CAUGCGUUAUUAUGCUUAAAUUGUCUAUUGUGCCCGUUUUUGUUGUUAACGUGUCUGAUCUGGAGUGGAGUCCAAAGCUACUUUGCUACCGUGUCACGAUGUCAAUCACCACUGCACUCUCUUGGUUAAUCUGUUUCUCUCUCCUCAUGCCAACGUUCAAAGUUUUGUUAUUCCAAGAUUCAUAUCAGCAGGUACUGCUGGAAGACCAUAUGACUUUGGCAUUGAAGCUUCUGUAUUUGUUGGUUUGUACAUCCAAAGCAUUCCACUGACUUAAAAUAACAAAAUAUUAGAGAAAUAGAUAGCUUAUAAAGAGUAACAUUUCUGUGAUAAUUAUAUAAUCUUCUAUUUCUCUUUUGGACACAAGCUCAUUCCUUGCUGAUAUUGUAACUAUACCUCAAUUUAUAAUAGCAAAGCUUUGUUCAUGUUGGGCUCGGGCAAAGCCCGGUCUACCCUUA